rnacentral:lncRNA from 1 species
GAAGGAGCCAGGCAGCAGGGAAGCAACUGCUUCCCUGCAAGAGGCACAGAUGAGAAGGGCCAGGUACCUGUUGCUGAGCAGGGCAGAUUGUCCACCAGGCUAAGACUGGCUAGCUCUACAAUAAAGAUUCUAAGGUUCUGCAACAAAGGGCAAAUAAGGAAUAAAACUAUGGACCAAGAAGAAGUAGGACAUGGCCAUGGGUGUGCCAAAAAAAACAAAAAAAUGAGUGGCAGUUGCUCAUGGCUUUUAAAUGGGCUGUUUUCACAUUCCAUCCCUGCUGGCCAGGGGAAGGGGGAACACUAAGAUCAACAGUGCAUCCAUCCACUGCUGCCUGCUCUACACAUGUCAGUAAAGUACACCCUGUGUGCUGUCCACAGCUGUCCUUGCAUUUCAGCAUCAGAGAUCAUGGGGCCUUCAGAGCCACAAACAUUUAUCACCUGGCCCUUCACAGAGACAUGUGUUGGCCCCUAUCUUAAAAGAUAGCUGCUGGCCUAGGGAUGUAUCUCAGGGGUAGAGCACAUACCUAGUGUGUGUAAAGCCCUGAGUUUGAUCCUGGCUACCACGAGGGGGGGAAAAAAGAUUCCAUGUGAUGGGUAAACAUGGGGGAACUUGGUUGCUGCCACAAAUAUGUCAGAGCAGCACUGGAGCUCCAAGGGCCUCCUUCAUGAGGCCAAGAUGGCUCGCACAUCAAGCCAUGACUUCACUAUAGACUGUGAAGACAGAUGAAACUGACAGGCCAGGAAUUCUCACUGUCACGCAAACAGAAAAAAACUUAAAUGGUAUAGAAGAAAGACACUGGGAUAUUUACAUAGGACAAGUAUGACUGAGAGAUGCUUAUAUUUGUAUUUUUAUAGAUGUAUAAUAUUGAG